rnacentral:rRNA from 1 species
UACCAGCUCUCCGAGUUGUAGGGGAUGAUUAUUGGGCUUAAAGCGUCCGUAGCUGGCUUAGCAAGUCUCCUGUUAAAUUCAGCGACCUAAUCGUUGAGCCGCGGGAGAUACUACUAGGCUAGGAGGCGGGAGAGGUCGACGGUACUUUCGGGGUAGGGGUGAAAUCCUAUAAUCCCGGGAGGACCACCAGUGGCGAAGGCUGUCGACUAGAACGCGCUCGACGGUGAGGGACGAAAGCUGGGGGAGCGAACCGGAUUAGAUACCCGGGUAGUCCCAGCUGGUAAACUAUGCGGGCUAGGUGUUGGGGUGGCUACGGGCCUCUUCAGUGCCGCAGGAAAGCCAUUAAGCCCGCCGCCUGGGGAGUACGGCCGCAAGGCUGAAACUUAAAGGAAUUGGCGGGGAGCACCACAAGGCGUGAAGCUUGCGGUUC